CGCGUAGGUGGUGCGAUAAGUCAGGUGUGAAAGCCCCGGGCUCAACCUGGGAAUGGCAUUUGAUACUGUCGUGCUAGAGUGUGGUAGAGGAAGGCGGAAUUCCCGGUGUAGCGGUGAAAUGCGUAGAUAUCGGAAGGAACACCAAUGGCGAAGGCAGCCUUCUGGGCCAACACUGACGCUGAGGCGCGAAAGCGUGGGGAGCAAACA
rnacentral:rRNA from 1 species